GACGAACGCUGGCGGCGUGCUUAACACAUGCAAGUCGAACGGAAAGGCCCUGCUUUUGUGGGGUGCUCGAGUGGCGAACGGGUGAGUAACACGUGAGUAACCUGCCCUUGACUUUGGGAUAACUUCAGGAAACUGGGGCUAAUACCGGAUAGGAGCUCCUGCUGCAUGGUGGGGGUUGGAAAGUUUCGGCGGUUGGGGCUGGAUUCGGGGGUUAGCAGCUUGUUGGUGGGGUAGUGGCUUACCAAGGCUUUGACGGGUAGCCGGCCUGGGAGGGUGACCGGGCACAUUGGGCCUGAGAGACGGAGCAGACUCCAACGGUACGCAGCAGGGGGGAAUAUUGCACAGUGGGCGGGAGCCUGAUGCGACAGCGCCGGGUUCGUGAUGACGUCUUACGAGUUGAAAACAGAUUUCGACGUAGAUGAAGCGGGAUCGACGGUAAUGGGUAAGAAAGCACCGGCUAACUACGUG
rnacentral:rRNA from 1 species